rnacentral:lncRNA from 1 species
AAAUAAAGAACUUUCUUUAUCUGAAUCAUCACUCUCUUUCUUUUUGGAUUGCAGCCACAGAUUUAUAAACAUGGAGCAGAGAAAAUCAGAGGGCAGUGCCUGGGAUAGAGUAGGAAGAAACUCAAUAAUUACAGUGCACAACUGGGCAGAUUCCAAGAGCAAUGUACACUACU